rnacentral:rRNA from 1 species
UACGUAGGGUGCAAGCGUUUGUCCGGAAUUAUUGGGCGUAAAGAGCUCGUAGGCGGUUCGUCGCGUCGGCUGUGAAAUCCCCGAGGCUCAACCUCGGGUCUGCAGUCGAUACGGGCGGACUGGAGUUCGGCAGGGGAGACUGGAAUUCCUGGUGUAGCGGGUGAAAUGCGCAGAUAUCAGGAGGAACACCGGUGGCGAAGGCGGGUCUCUGGGGCCGAUACUGACGUGAGGAGCGAAAGCGUGGGGAGCGAACAGG